rnacentral:rRNA from 1 species
CCUACGGGAGGCAGCAGUAGGGAAUUUUCCACAAUGGGCGAAAGCCUGAUGGAGCAAUACCGCGUGCAGGAUGAAGGCCUUCGGGUCGUAAACUGCUUUUAUGUGCGAAGAAUUUGACGGUAACACAUGAAUAAGGAUCGGCUAACUACGUGCCAGCAGCCGCGGUCAUACGUAGGAUCCAAGCGUUAUCCGGAAUUACUGGGCGUAAAGAGUUGCGUAGGUGGCAUUAUAAGUGGAGCGUGAAAGCGUGCGGCUCAACCGCAUUAUUGCGUUCCAAACUGUGAAGCUUGAGUAUGGGAGAGGUAGAUGGAAUUUCUAGUGUAGGAGUGAAAUCCGUAGAUAUUAGAAGGAACACCGAUGGCGUAGGCAGUCUACUGGCCCAUUACUGACACUAAGGCACGAAAGCGUGGGGAGCAAACGGGGAUUAGAUACCCCGGUAGUCCACGCUGUAAACUAUGGAUGCUAGCGUGUGACACACACUACGUACCGUCGUGUCGUAGUACGUAACGUUAACGUACGUUAACGUACGACUCCGCCGUCGGGUAGGUACGGUCGGCGAGUAAGUUAAACGUAACUUAAUUAGUAGUUAGUUACGGCGUUGAGAGNGCCGACGGACGACGACGAGGGAGGAGG